CCUACGGGAGGCAGCAGUAGGGAAUCUUCCGCAAUGGACGAAAGUCUGACGGAGCAACGCCGCGUGAGUGAUGAAGGCUUUCGGGUCGUAAAACUCUGUUGUUAGGGAAGAACAAGUACAAGAGUAACUCCUUGUACCUUGACGGUACCUAACCAGAAAGCCACGGCUAACUACGUGCCAGCAGCCGCGGUAAUACGUAGGUGGCAAGCGUUAUCCGGAAUUAUUGGGCGUAAAGCGCGCGCAGGCGGUUUCUUAAGUCUGAUGUGAAAGCCCACGGCUCAACCGUGGAGGGUCAUUGGAAACUGGGGAACUUGAGUGCAGAAGAGAAAAGCGGAAUUCCACGUGUAGCGGUGAAAUGCGUAGAGAUGUGGAGGAACACCAGUGGCGAAGGCGGCUUUUUGGUCUGUAACUGACGCUGAGGCGCGAAAGCGUGGGGAGCAAACAGGAUUAGAUACCCUGGUAGUCCACGCCGUAAACGAUGAGUGCUAAGUGUUAGAGGGUUUCCGCCCUUUAGUGCUGCAGCUAACGCAUUAAGCACUCCGCCUGGGGAGUACGGUCGCAAGACUGAAACUCAAAUGAAUUGACGGGG
rnacentral:rRNA from 1 species